rnacentral:lncRNA from 1 species
GUUUUGUAGUAAUUUUGAUGCAUUGUAAGUUGUGUUUUAAAUUAAGUGGCUAGGUGGAACAAUUGUCAUUUAAUAUGUUUCAGUGGCUUAGGGAGUUGUAUUUGCAUUGAUGAAGAUGUUUUGGCACACUAGUAUAUUAGGGAGGGAGUUAGAUAUGCUAAAGGAGACAAUUUGGAAUUAUAAUUUUAUGGUAACAAAGAAUUGAGCAUUGCUCUUCUAUCAUUUUUCUGUCAAGCCUCGUGUGUUUUCUGACAUCUCCUCUAUCUCUUUGUCGUUCUGCAUUAUUUGGUAUCAGAGCUUCGCUACUCUCUUUGGGUUGCUUCCGCGCUAUUUAUCUAAAUGGCAGCGAUGGAAGGUAGAGGAAGGCGUGGUAACCAAGAGCCUGGAGAUCUAAGAGUUGAAAGAGUUGACGAAAUUCAAGAGCUGCAACUAGAACUCGAGUUGCUUGCCUUGCGAAUUGAACGCCUAGAAGCUCGAAGGAAGCAUGGUGGAUCAAAACGCAAGAAGCACAACCAACGAUGGUGGACUACCCAAAUGUCAAGGUUUGGUAGUUGGCUUAAAGAUGCUAGGUCUUGCACCAUCAGAUGCGAAUAUGAUAAGGUGAACCCAAAUACUUAUCAAAAUGAACAAAUGGUGGUGCCUAAAGUUUCAGAUUUGAAGGUAACCCCAUCAGUGUCACUUAUCUUUGAAAAUGAGUUUGAUAAUGAUGAAUUGGGCUAUACUUAUGAUUGUACCUUACCACCUAUCUAUGAUGAAUAUCAUGAAGAUGGAGAUACAUGUCCAAAAAAAUAGGUCACAAAUGAAUCUCUUCAUCACAACAAGCUGGGUUAUUCAUCAAUUGAUAUAUCUCAUGCUAGCGAAUCAGUUUCUCUGCACAAUUUCAUGUCUUGCUCAAAGGGGGAUCCCGAAGCAAAAGGUUAUGAUGUCUUCUUGGUUCAUGGGAGAGAUGGAACAAUGAGUGCGGACUUGAUUCCCUGUAAUAUUAUUUCCCUGGAUGCUUCAAACAUUACAAAUUAUACUACUUAUUUGCCUACAGUUGAGGAAAAGGUUCCUAACUUUCAGUUUUAUGAUUCCAUUUGGUAUGACUGUAUCUAUGGAUUCAUCAACAACUAUUUGAAUGCAAGGAAAGAGUUAAUUAUGAUUUUGAAGCCUUAUAUCUUUCGUGAAAAGUUAUGUAGGUUACUACAAUUUUGGGAAAGAAUGAAUCUUUGUUUCUGCCAUGCAAGUAAUAUUUUUGUUAGUUCGAAGAAGAAAAGAAAGAGAAGUGAGGCAACGUGGUUUCUAAACUCGGCGAUUUGGAAAGAGCUUGGAUUGAAAUUAGUGAACUCUUGGACGAGUUCUUUCUCACUCGGAGAGUCUAAUGUAGUGAAUAAGGAGUUUAUUCAAUGGGGCUUUUGGUAUUUUGGUGUUCAUCCAUUCCGUUAAUUAUUAAUUUGAGAUUCAUGUAUCUUAGGUUGUGAUUUAAUGUUUUGUAGUAAUUUUGAUGCAUUGUAAGUUGUGUUUUAAAUUAAGUGGCUAGGUGGAACAAUUGUCAUUUAAUAUGUUUCAGUGGCUUAGGGAGUUGUAUUUGCAUUGAUGAAGAUGUUUUGGCACACUAGUAUAUUAGGGAGGGAGUUUGAUAUGCUAAAGGAGACAAUUUGGAAUUAUAAUUUUAUGGUAACAAAGAAUUGAGCAUUGCUCUUCUAUCAUUUUUCUGUCAAGCCUUGUGUGUUUUCUGACAUCUCCUCUAUCUCUUUGUCGUUCUGCAUUAAUUGGAGACCUUAUUUGAGACACCAUUGGCGACUCCGAUUGAAUCGGUUGCACAAAAUAAAUAAACAACAAGGUUUGUUGGUAAGAAGGCUGCUAAGAAAAAAGUUGGAAGAGGGAAUUCUUUGAAUAAUGAUUAUUCAAAAUUAGUUGAUGAAUUGGCUGGCCAACAUGCACUGCAUAUGGAACAGGACAAGUUAACGUAUGAGCAAGACAAGGUUAGAGAUGAAGUAAAGGUGAGAGAAAGGGAGUUGAAUAUAUAGGCAAGAAAGACAAGAGGAGAAUGAUCGGAUAUCACAUCCGACACCUUGAUGAUUAGUCUCCUAACUUCAAAUCGUUUUUUGAGAAGUGAAAAAAUCGCAUCAUGAGAAGAAGGUUUUUUGCGGACUCCAAGGGAAGAUGGACCAAGACACACUGAUUUUAUCCCCUAGUUUAAAUUAAUUAUGUUUGUUGUAGUGCUACGAUUUUCUGUUUAUUUGAAAUUAUUUAUUGGAAUUAGACUUUAUUUGAGAAAUAAUGACAUGUAGGGGAUAAUGCUAAGAAAACAUAAAUAAAAAUAACAAUAAAUAUAUUGGUGAAUAGUAGUCGCUAUUUUCCUUAUGCUUCCUCAUAGACGAGUGGACUUGUACGAAGGCAAUUACUGUUAGAGUGAAUAGUAAGGGCAAUGCUCUCAAUGACCCUUGCCUUCCACUAAGAGCAUCUCCACCGCUAGUGGAAGUCAAUGGCAAUUGGAGGGCAAUGAUCCUCAGUAUUCAUUCUAAACAGUAUUUGUCUUUGUGCAAGUUCAUCAGUUUGGAAGGAGGAAGGGCAAGACAAAUGCAAUUACUAUUCACAAAUAUAUAUUUUUAAUGUUUUCUUCGUCUUAUCCCCACAUAUCAUUAUGUCUGUAAAUUUUUGAGUAAUUUUAAAUAUUUAAUUUGCAAAUGUUUUGAACUUUGUAAGAAAUUUAAAGUUUAUAAGUUUUUUGAAUUUAUGAAAUAAUUUUUAAAUUUUUAUGUUUUUUGAGAAUUAGAUUUAAUCCUAAAUUUUUUUGAAAUCUAAGGCCCACAAAGAGCAACGUGGCAGGCUGCAACAUUCAAAAGUCUGAUGGGCUUCACGUGGUUUUGGGGUUUUUUUUUUGGGGUGAGGGAGAGGGGGGGGGGGUCCCAUGCCUUGUCUGCUGGGUUUCACUUGGACCCAACCUCUUGCAAUUAUUGAAGGAGUUUUGUUUUGUUUUUUUUUGUCAAUAUAUUGAAAGGCGUAUUUGACUUCAACCCAAUUGUCUCCCUGUUUUUUUUUUUUUUUU